UACAGAGGGGGCAAGCGUUGUUCGGAAUUACUGGGCGUAAAGGGCGCGUAGGCGGCCUGCUAAGUCGAACGUGAAAUCCCUGGGCUCAACCCAGGAACUGCGUCCGAUACUGGUUGGCUUGAAUCCGGGAGAGGGACGUGGAAUUCCAGGUGUAGCGGUGAAAUGCGUAGAUAUCUGGAGGAACACCGGUGGCGAAGGCGACGUCCUGGACCGGCAUUGACGCUGCGGCGCGAAAGCCAGGGGAGCAAGCGGG
rnacentral:rRNA from 1 species